rnacentral:rRNA from 1 species
UACGAAGGGGGCUAGCGUUGCUCGGAAUCACUGGGCGUAAAGGGUGCGUAGGCGGGUCUUUUAAGUCAGGGGUGAAAUCCUGGAGCUCAACUCCAGAACUGCCUUUGAUACUGAAGAUCUUGAGUCCGGGAGAGGUGAGUGGAAUUCCCAGUGUAGCGGUGAAAUGCGUAGAUAUUGGGAGGAACACCAGUGGCGAAGGCGGCUCACUGGACCGGAACUGACGCUGAGGCGCGAAAGCGUGGGGAGCAAACGGGG